CUUGAGAAGGAAUAAUUUGCCGUCGCCGCAACGGACGACGUCCGCUCAGUUUCGUUAGAACUCUACAGCGGGCUGGAUCGAUUGCGCGGCGUGGCGGUACAAGCUAACCCAAGUGAAUCGAGUAUGGUGUUGAACGAGAUUGAAAAGUGCGCGGAAUCGGUUCGCGGAAAAUGCUGCUGUGAACGAUUGUCGAUCUGAUAUUUGAGCGUAACAAUCGGGUAAUUGGCAGUGUUUAGACGGCAACGUUCUCCAGAAUGUCGGGACUUUGCAUCCAGUACGUGCGUGUUGCAUCGUAAUUAAAUUAUAGAGUUAAAGCGUGUUUGUGUAUAAACAACAUUCAGUGCUGGAUCUAUUAGUUGGUGAUGAGACUAUCCAAUCGCGAUUCCUGUAUUGGUGCUUACUUUCCUAGGAAAAAAACACGUCUGAACCUCUAUCAAGGAAAACAUCCCAUCACUCUGGACUAGUAAUAAAGACGGCUUGAAACUGGACGGAUCGUGAGCGCUGUGCCAUCAAAUGGACACAAUUCCACAACAUUUGUCUAUCGCUAAAUAAAUUGCGUAAAGUGAACUAAAAAUACUAAAAAACGCCAACCGGAAGAGCAAACUAUAUUUGAAAUUGAAAUAAUACACACAAUUGAGGUCACAUCGUGAUAAUCUUACGACCUAUACCUAGUAAUUCGAACCCUGAAAGGAGUAAUAUGCGGUGAUAUGUGCCGUCAAGUUCUUAUCAAUGGACCAUAUGACGGAUAGGAGUAACACAAAAAGCAGCAAUUCCUAAAUGCCGUAGUGUGCUCGGAAGAAGAACAGUGUGUAGAAACCGGAGAAGAAGUUGUAAUCUUCCUCGAGGAGAAGUGUAAUGGUGCGGCACAAUUUUUGGUCAAUGCUGGAAUCGUUGGAAACUGCCCCGGUGGAUUAGUUGGUAGUGGUGUGUACAAGGAAGAAGGACCUCUCUUUCGGCAGUGUGGCGUAGCCGAGGGCGGACGUUUUACCGCGUGGUGAUCUUUCGCGGCUCUGUAAGUGCUCGAACGUCGUCUUACCUCGCCGAGAAGAUUAUAAGUGAACAGUGAGAGGAUACCAUACCAAAAUGUUGGGAAUUAAAUACCUAAACGAAGCCCACCUGAAGGGGUUUGAAAAGUACAAAUACAGCUGCGUAGACACCAGCAUACUCAGCGUUCAUGUGAUGCACCCAUUCUGGAACUGGCUGGUGCAGUACUUCCCCCGAUGGAUCGCCCCCAAUUUGCUCACAUUCACCGGGUUCAUGCUGACGGUGAUCAAUUUCCUCCUAAUAGGAUACUACGACUUUGGAUUCACGGCGGCUAGUAAAACGCCGAACCCCAUCCCCGACUGGGUGUGGAUAAUGGCGGGAAUUAAUUUAUUUGUAGCUUAUACUUUAGAUGGUAUUGACGGAAAACAAGCUCGACGGACGGGUACGAGUGGACCGCUGGGCGAAUUGUUUGAUCAUGGUGUAGACUCGUACUCCACACUGCUGAUCCCAGCGUACGUGUUCAGCUUGUUCGGGAGGUUCGAUUUGCCUCCUAUGAGGAUGCAUUUUGUGAUGCUCAACGCCUAUCUAAACUUUUACCUGCCACAUGUGGAGAAAUACAUCACCGGGGUGAUGUUCUUGCCCUGGGGAUAUGAUUUCCUGAUGUGGGGUGUUUCGUUAACGAUGGCAGCUACUGGUAUUUUUGGGCCAGGAAUUUGGCAGGUGCCUAUCUUCGGCGUCAAUUCAUGUGUGAUUUUUGAAGUAACUCUUUAUGUGUCUGGUUUGACCACAAGUCAUCCAAUUAUUUUCUACAACAUUUACAAAUCAUACCGAGAUAAAACCGGCAAGAUGCGUCCUUUCCUAGAAGCAUUCCGACCGAUGAUUCCUCUGAUUGGUCUGGCUGUGGUCAGUACCAUCUGGGCAUUCCUCACCCCAAACAGUAUUGUAAACUUGGAACCAAGAAUGUUUAUUGUUCUUAGUGGAACAAUUUUCUCAAACAUUAACUGCCGACUGAUCGUAGCCCAAAUGACUGACACGAAGGCUGACCUCUGGAAUGGGCUGCUCAAUCUGAUAACCGCUGCAACCAUCGUUUGCAUAUUUCCGUAUACAAGUCUAGGCAUUCCUGCUCUGUGGAUCGAGUACGAACGGAACAUCCUGUACGCGCUGGUCCUGGUCGUCACCGUGGCCCACCUGCACUACGGCCAGGGAGUGGUGCGAGAAAUGUGCUCCCACUUCCGGAUCCGGUGUUUCAAAAUACCAGCAUACGGUAAAUCAUCAGCAUUACUAGGCUACUAAAAGACUUUGAAUCACAUCUGUCGCACAUUCACGCGUUCAAGCUCGUACCACGACAUCUCCGAGGAUACUAAAUUAACGUUCGACCAUAUAGCUUCGACUAGCUCAUCACUGAGCGAGCUGCAUCACUUCCUCCACACAUUGCUGCAGAAAAGAUAACAAAACCUGCCGAUAUUGCUGCUGCCAACGGCAACGGCAGACAUCCUUCAACUAAUGACGAAAUGAUUGAGAUUGAAUUGUGAAAAUUGAAAACACCAAUGGAACGGAGCUGAGCGUAAAUAGCAAAAGAGAGUGCAGCGUGCGACGAUAUCUCAAUUAGAGACUAGCUAAUACUACUUAGUAACUACUGUGAGAGUGCUCCAUGUACGUGACCGCGCUGUUGUCUUUUGAGUCUAUUUGCAGAUUCAAUAGCGAGCCUGUCACCGCGACGUGGAGUGCGGUAAAAAAUGAGAUAACCUAAAAACUGUAAAUACUAGCGAAAAGAUAAUAAAUUUAAAACGAGAAA